rnacentral:rRNA from 1 species
UACGGGGGGAGCAAGCGUUGUUCGGAUUUACUGGGCGUAGAGGGCGCGUAGGCGGCGCAACAAGUCACUUGUGAAAUCUCCGGGCUUAACCCGGAGCGGCCAAGUGAUACUGUCGUGCUAGAGUGCGGAAGGGGCUACUGGAAUUCUCGGUGUAGCGGUGAAAUGCGUAGAUAUCGAGAGGAACACCUGCGGCGAAGGCGGGUAGCUGGGCCGACACUGACGCUGAGGCGCGAAAGCGUGGGGAGCGAACAGG